UAAUCCUAUUUAACUACUCUAAGAUAAAGCUUUAUAUAAGAAAAGUUAACAACAUAAUAUUAAAAUCCAUCUACCGUAAAUUACUGCCAAAAAAUCUCGUUGACUGAGUUGGACGGAGGUCCGUGUUGCUCUAUGGCUAGCCGUAGGCGUAGGAUCUCUACUUGGUCUGUGCACGAGAGAAAUCCGUAGGACAAAUCGCUGUCAACCGGAGGAGGUCCGUGUUAAUAUCUACGCCAAAAACUAAAAAAAAAACUUAUGACCUGACAGCUGUCAAACAAAUAACCUCAAAAUCCAAAAAAUCUUACCUAGGUACUGGAUUAUUUCGUAUAUUCCAGAAGAAUAAUAAACUACAAUCAUGUUCCGUCUACCGUUCGGAGAGAGAGUCGAUCCCAUGGAAGAAAAGCGUCAAGCAAGGGAAAACACUAUCAACAGCGUGCUAACGUUUUGCGUUCUCUGCGCAACUAUAAGAAUUGCUCCAUUCAUCCUGGAACAAGGGGGGUUCACAGUGUGAUAUCACUAGAGACUUCAGACACCAAUCACGCCGCAGAUGUAUUAGACUGAAUUAAUUGUUAAUUUCAUAUAGUUAUAUAUUAUUAUGUAAUCCAAGUUAACCAUCAAGGAUAUAGUUUAUUGUAGUGCUCAAUCCAGUCAUGUUAGUUCUUAUUAGCAAUAUAAAUUAUUAGAUUGCUUUCAAAACAAUGCAUUUACAUUGGUUUAAAAAAUGCUUUCUGUUUACUUGCUCAAUAAACUUUAUUACAACUAUUUGAAUGAUUUUCUCAAUAAUAAUUUUAUAUAUGCUGAUGAAAUAAUAUUCAAUGAGUUCCAUUAUUUAUUUGUGCAAGACCAACAAUAACAUACCAAUGUAAAUGCAUGUUUAAUUUUAACUAUAUUAAAUGGAUGUAUAAAGAAAAGAAAGACCAUGAUCUUUUUUGUAAUAAAUUACACUGAAGUUUAA